CGCGUGGUUACCUGCCCAUUAGUGGGGAAUAAGCUGGAGAAAUUCAGUCUAAUACCGCAUAAUCUCUUCGGAGGAAAGUGGGGGAUCUUCGGACCUCACGCUGAUGGAUGGGACCGCGUUGGAUUAGCUAGUUGGUGAGGUAAUGGCUCACCAAGGCGAUGAUCCAUAGCUGGUUUGAGAGGAUGAUCAGCCACACUGGGACUGAGACACGGCCCAGACUCCUACGGGAGGCAGCAGUGGGGAAUUUUGCACAAUGGGGGAAACCCUGAUGCAGCGACGCCGCGUGCGGGAAGAAGGCCUUAGGGUUGUAAACCGCUUUCAGCCAGGGAAGAAGAGAGUGAGUGUUAAUAGCAAUUCUGAUUUGACGGU
rnacentral:rRNA from 1 species